rnacentral:rRNA from 1 species
GACGAACGCUGGCGGCGUGCCUAAUACAUGCAAGUCGAACGCAGUGGGGACGGGUGAGUAACACGUGGGUAACCUCCCAUCAGAGGGGAUAACACUUGGAAACAGGUGCUAAACCGAUAUUGGUGGAUGGACCCGCGGUGCAUUAGCUAGGUGGUGAGGUAACGGCUCACCAAGGCCACGAUGCCUAGCCGGUCUGAGAGGAUGAUCGGCCACACUGGAACUGAGACACGGCCCAGACUCCUACGGGAGGCAGCAGUGGGGAAUCUUCGGCAAUGGACGAAAGCCUGAUCGAGCAACGCCGCGUGAAUGAAGAAGGUCUUCGGAUCGUAAAGCUCUUUUGUUAGAGAAGCGGUAUCUAACCAGGAAGCCACGGCUAACUACGUGCCAGCAGCCGCGGUAAUUC